CGCUCCUGAUUUCUCAAGCCUGUAAACUCCUUCCAGCAUUGGCGUGCCCUGCCUCAGGCCAAGGGAGUGGAGUGGUGAAUGCCUGUGUGUGUGAGGUGCCUGGCUAGAGUAAGGCAGCCUAAUCCAGGACAGGAGAGCACCAUGACAGCAUCAAGUCCCGGAUCCUGGCUAAUCCUUCCUUUCUGAACAGUCACCGCUUCCAUGUGCAGAGCCCAGGCCUCAAGACUGUAAGGAAGAUGGACUAUACAUCUCAUCAGAACCAUUCCAGUAGCCUCAUCAGGAGGUGCUGUUUCCUGUCACAUCUGCUUUGUGAACUUUUCAGUAAGUCUAAAAUGAACAUCUCCGCAUAAGGAAAAGCACGUCAAAGCCCACCCAGAUGUUCAGCUGUGGCAAGCUGUGAAGAAGGGCCAGAUUGUCUACAGUCAUUUCGGUUUAAUUCAAAACAACCUCACUGUGACCCCAGAAAGAUGCAUGUGAUACGUUAAGCAUCCUGGACUACCUUAGUCACCUCAGUUCUGAGCUACAACAGCCACUUUUGAAGGUGCUCUUUCACAGGUGAAGUUUGAAUGUGUGUCAAGGAGCACCUCCUGGGGUCAAGGAUGAAUAAGGUGAUAUUAAUCAUUCAACAUCAGGUCUUAUCAGAGCUUGCAGGUUAAGCCCCUUGGGCGCCCCUGUGCUCCCAAAGAGCUUGUUUCCUUGGGUUACUGAUUUCAGUUUGAAGUCAGGUGAUUUGCGAAAUGACCCAGGCUUUCCUGUUCGGUUCACACCACAGGGAGCGAGGAGAACAAAUAGGUCCAAAGUCUGUCGGUUCCUGGGCCUUAGGAAGAGACCGGUGUCGGUGUCACGUGCUUGUCUGAUCAGGUGUUCAGGAGUCUGUUUUUCACUUCUCUGGCUUCAGGAAGCUAGGAUACCGCUGCAGAAAGCAAGUUACAAGAAGAUUGGCUUUCAAAGGCAUCCUUGGAAGUCAGGAUUCUACAUUUUGACAGUGCGGACAUUUGGGGGAAAUGGGGCUUCUCUUUAUUCUCUUGUGUAAAUGUGUGAAGCACCUGUAUGGCCGUGCAGGAAAGGGAAGCAGCACUUGGCGACAAUUUGAUCAUAAUAAAGAGGACACUGAUUUUGAAUUAC